GAUGAACGCUGGCGGCGUGCCUAAUACAUGCAAGUAGAACGCUGAAGGAGGAGCUUGCUCUUCUGGAUGAGUUGCGAACGGGUGAGUAACGCGUAGGUAACCUGCCUGGUAGCGGGGGAUAACUAUUGGAAACGAUAGCUAAUACCGCAUGACAACAGUUAUUGCAUGAUAACUGUUUAAAAGGGGCAACUGCUCCACUACCAGAUGGACCUGCGUUGUAUUAGCUAGUUGGUGAGGUAACGGCCCACCAAGGCGACGAUACAUAGCCGACCUGAGAGGGUGAUCGGCCACACUGGGACUGAGACACGGCCCAGACCCCUACGGGAGGCAGCAGUAGGGAAUCUUCGGCAAUGGACGGAAGUCUGACCGAGCAACGCCGCGUGAGUGAAGAAGGGUUUCGGAUCGUAAAGCUCUGUUGUAAGAGAAGAACGAGUGUGAGAGUGGAAAGUUCACACUGUGACGGUAUCUUACCAGAAAGGGACGGCUAACUACGUG
rnacentral:rRNA from 1 species